GUGGUAGUCAGGAGAAACCCAAGAGCAGUGCAAGGAGAAGGGAGCUUGUUCUCCUUAGCACUGCAUUGGAUUGUACCCCAAAUGUUUUGCCCUGAGGCCUCACAAGAGAGGCUGAAUAAAGCCUUUAAAAGCCCUACAAUCAUCUUGCCUGUUGCAGUGGUGAGUUGCUAAGAUUUGUCUCCUGUCUCCUGGAUAGACUCCACAAUAAUGGGGCUGAGAUCGAGUGCAUAUAUCCAACAGUAAUAAUUUAAGAGUGUAAGACUAUCAGAAGAGUCCUGCUGGAUCACACCAUUGUUCCACCUAACCCAGUGUUCUUCUUUGCAAGUCAGCUAUCCAGAAAUCUCUGAGCAGCCCACAAGUAGAUUGGAAGGCUGUAGACCUCUCAUGCGGUAUUCAACAACAUACUUGCACUGGACUCUGGAAGUUCCAAAUACCCAUCAUGGUGAAUGUGCAUUUAUCAUCAUCUUCUUCUUGAAUUUGAAAAGCCAUCUAAGCCAGUAGCCAACACAAAUCGUCUGGCAGCAAUUUCCAUCAAUUAAUGAUGCAUUUUUAUUUUGCUUGUCCUGAAUCCACUGCCAAUCUGUUCCACUGGAUGACCCCAAGUUCUCAAGCAGUUGGCACAUUGGUUCAGGAAGUGCAGAUCAGGUGAGUCCACUCUAGAAAUCAAGUUCACUGAAUUCCUCCCCCUAUCCAUAGUAGUUGUACCCAUAAUUUUGUGUGCAUGUAUGGCAGCGUGAAUUAUUAGCAGAUGGAACCCUUGCUGGUAUGGUUGGGACUGAGGGGGGCUUGUUAUAAAAGUUCAUCAUUACUUAAAUGAAUCCUGGCCAGGAUGUGUUUGGAGAUUUUGGUGUGGUGGUUGUUUUUUUUUUUUUUGGUGGGGGGAAUGUGAGGAACACAAUUAGAGUUUUAUUCAAUAGAGUUUUAUACAUUAUGAAUGGGGUAAAAUUCAUGGCUGGAAAGAUCUGGUGACGGCAUUUAGUUUAGAUGGAUUAAAAAGGUAAUCAGACAAAUUCAUGGGUGAUGCGUAUUUUGAUAGCUAUUAGUCUUGAUAGCUAAAUGCAGUGUCUAUGUUCAGAAUCAUUACACCUCUCAAUGCCUGUUGCUGGGACCAAACAGUGGAGUAAAUCUAUUCCCUUGCAUGGUCUCCCGAGCAAGCUCUCUGCAGCACUACCAUACUGCAAAUAGCCAACAAUUAUAAGUAUUUGUAAACUUCUAUACUCAGUGUGUUGGAGGCUUGAAGAGAGACUAUCACUUCCCAGCUUCAGUCAUGAUAUGUUGUUCUUAUUUCUUGGCUAUUGCCACAGUUCAUGGGACUUACUGAAGCAAGAGAUGCAGAUGUUGGCAGGAGACCGAAUGUUUCAUACUGGGUUAUUGCUGUGAGGUGUAUGGGUCCACUAGCUUUGAAACACUCUCUUUGGGUGUGAUGAGUUUCACCUCUACACUGAGUUUUUCACCUACACUGAGUUUUUCACCUCUACACUGAGAUAAAACACACAUAUUAAUAUUUAGAUAUGAAUUUACAUAUGAAUUUUGUUCUUUUAACAUUCAGAUUAAUGAGGAUGCACUGAAUUAUGAAUGAACACAUGUAAAAUUGAACUGGAUCAGAAAUAGAUCUGUCUGUCCCUAGCACACCCAUUGCUGCAAUAUGAAACAGCAAGAAUGUAGUACUGAAUUGGAUUCUGGUGGCAUCACUGCAGUGUGUGUUAAAUACUACUUUGGGAGGAUUUUGAGAUCUCUGUGAUCAAAAUCCUCCAUGCCCCUGAAAACAGAAUAUAUGAGCAGAAAUUGAAACCUAAACAUACUGAGUUCUCAGCAUGAAUUUAGGUUGGGGCACAAGUGGCACACAUUCCAUUCUCAUUCCUGCGUUGGGGGGGGGGGUGAUAUACAAUGAGAAUUCAGAGAGAAAAAUGUUCAGUAUAAGAAUGCAAUACCCUUAUCCCUUAUCUGGUAUACAUUCUCAUGCUGCCCUUAAUGCUCACUUAGGUUAAAGACAGAGCUAAGGCUGAGAGAAACAAAUGGCAUCCCAGUAUAUUCUCUAUGCUAUUUGUUGGUGGUGAUACUGAGCGGGGUGGGAUGUUGCCAGAUAUUUUUGAUGAGGGAGGUGAAGUUCUGAUGUCUCACUUUUUGUUGAAUGGAUAUUGUUAGCUUAUACUGGUGGGUGAAGGAGGCCGUGGGAUAAGAGAGCACAACUGGAAGAAUUAGAGGCCAAGCCCAUUUAUUUCUUCAACAAUAUUAAAAUAUUAUUUAAAAACAUUUUUAAAAAUCCAAAAUGCAAAGAUGGCAACAUUGGGGAGGCCAUUUUGUUCAAUAUUCCCUAGGGGAAUGUUGUAAUUCCCUAAUAGUUCAGCUCACAGAAGAAAAGCUGCAAACACUUGUCAGAAAUUUAUUUGCUAGGAAAUUUCAGCUUUUCUGCUCAGGAGUUCUUUGGCAGUCUUCUUCAGUCUAGUAACCUCCCGAUCUUUGGGGCUAUAGCUCCUAUAAUCCUGAUGUUGUCUGAAGCUGAUUGAAGCUGUAGUUCAAACACUUGAAUGACACCAGGUUGGGAAAAGCUGUUCUUUGGAGUCCAGGUGCACCGAGUUGUGCCCAACAUUGGGGGGCACAUCAUGUGUGUAUAAUGUCAGGCACAUGACGUCCCCCUCCAGCCCGACCAGACCCACUCAGCCCACUGGGCACAUUUUCUGGAGGAGAUGCAACCAGGCGCCCCCCCAAACAGACUCCCGUCGGAGCCUGUUCCAGCGUGCGAGGGAGCCAAGGAGGCAGCUUCCUCAGAGUGAAGAGCUGGUGGCAGAGAGCUGCUCUCCUCAACUGAGCUGUACCACAUGCCUUUCCAUCAUGAGGUGCCUGGCCACGACUGCUCUAUUCCCAGGUCAAGCCUGACCCGAGGGGUGGAGAGAGGCUGCAGCAUGCAAGGGAUGGGGUGCAUGGAGGGUGAUGUUGACCUUUGAAUGUCCCAUCCCCACCCAGCUGCCAAGCGCUCGAGAGUGCUUGCCCAGGUGUGCAGGAGAAGGAUGGGAUGGGCAGAAGAUGAUGUUCAUCCUUGCAUGUCCCGCCCGGCUGCUGAGUGCUUGCCCAGAAGCAGGCCAGGGGGAUGAAGCCCAGUGGUGGCGGGGGGUGGCAGCCCCCUCAAUAUUGGGGGGCUGAACCCCCUGCCCCAAAAUAUUGAGGGAAUGAAGCUUCCUCUGUCCCCUAUAGUUGGUGUCCCUGUUGGAGUUCUAAUUAUGUAAUUUUGGAAUACUCUUAUAACUAUUGCAUAUGUGGGGUGAGCAUUCAUCAGACCAGGAACCCAAAUAUUUGUAGUGUAAACAGAAGCUCUUUAAUGUUCAAAGGCUUAUUUUGGCAAAAUGGUUUAUUCCUGUGAACCAUGUAAACAGUUCUGCCAAACAAGGACACUUUUGGUUGUUCACUAUCUUCUCUAUUUGGGUCAGUCAUCUUGAUUGCCUUUUGCAGUUGUUUCAUGAGGUUGUGAUCUCCGAACCAGCUCUAAAGAAAUCUCCUCUUUUGUUUCUGGGCACAUUUGUAUGGUAGGGAAAGGCAGUGGAAUUUCCAAACAGUCCUCUGUUAUGAAUGAUGCUCUGGAUUGGAGAAAUUAAGCCAAACUACAUUUCCUAAUACAGUAGGUGGGCACAGUGCACAAACUCCGUGCAAAAGCAUCAACUUUAUACAGCUGGUGGAAACUCUUGGGAAACAAAUGAGCCUUUUCUGAAUGCGCAGGAAGAAAACUUGUAAAUACCAAGCCAAUUCUAAAUCAAGCUGAGAGCACAAGCCGCCUGCCUUCUGGGCUUUGAAAAUGUAAGGGAAGACCUUCUGCCAUGAUUAUUUACAUAAUUAAUUUUCCAGGUAAUUUCACUUUUUAAAACCUCAACAGGCCUCCUUACAAUUCUCUUAUCUCAGUCACAUAUUGUAGUGACACUGCACUUUAAUUUGGCAUGCAUUUGAAAGUGUCACAUUUUAAGAAGUGUCCAGCAGACUGUUGAGAAAUACUUUCAGAGUAAAAUAGAGCAAAAUGACGCUUCGCUACUUUCGGUUUUCUUCUUGAAAAGUGAAUUCUGGCAGCUUCGUCAAGCCCUUUAUGAACAUUGAGCAGUUUCUCAGUCAUGCUAAAUGAGCUUUCAUUACAGAGAGAAGUGAAAUUCAGCAGCCGGAAUUCAAUUGUGCCAUACUUUCGAAUUUAUUUAUCAAAAUUUAUAUCCUAUCUUUUUUAUAAAAUAUCCAGGGUAUCUUACAAUAUACAGUCAUUACAUUAAAAAACCCAGCAUCAGUAGCAUCAAUGAAUGCAGUCUAAAAACCAGAAGAAGAAGAGCAUAAGGUUUAAAUGAUGUUGCUUGCUCUAUUCCCCCUCCCUCUUUUUUUUGAGGGGCAGCUUUUUCUCAGCCACCCUGGAAACUCAAUAAAGGACAGAAUGCAAUUCCUUAAAAUAAAGGGAUAUACAUCAUUCAAAUUAUCGCUGUCCUACAUACAUCUCUGUUCAGAAUACACUUAUUCCAGUGAAGCUACAAGGUUUAAUUGGUUGAACUGAUAAGCCUAAAUGGUCGCAACCAUGUAUCAAGGUCUGGCUGGCGUGUAGGGUCAUGGUGAUUAAGAGCCUAAGGUGUGAGUCAGGAAUUGCUGGCUCAGGAAAAUGCAUAAGCAAGGAGUCUCAGUAGUCUUUAGGUCUGCAUUUCCUGUAAGCUCCACACUAGUUUUUGCCUGCACAACAUUAUUUUGCCUUUUCCCGUUAGAAUUUCAAGAGGCGCAAUUCAAAACACUGAGAGAAAAACAAAAACUACAGCUCUAUGAUUCUAUGAAACAAAAAACCUUGAUGGCUGCCCGCUAAUCUUUCUGCUUUGUGGAUGUUCAGUCAGAAGUCCUCCACCUGGAGGAAAGAGAAAUGAACUCAGAAAUGGACUAAGAGUUCACUGUGUCUGCUCUGAUUGACCAAGCCACACUACAAAGGGGGAGGAGGGCUUUGAUUACUCAUUGUCAUUGUGACAUCAGGUGACUGAUAAGAGGGUGGCCCCAUCCAUCCAUCCCCCCAAAAUACCCCACUGGGUGGGGUUGGGAGAACUGUUAAAAUGGUCUGCCAGUUGGAAAAGAUUCCAUACCCCUGAAAUGGGUCUUUGUUCUGACGGGUCUUUGUGCAGAUAGAUAAGGCUAUUUUGACAUUUGUAAGAGAGCAUAGGAAAGUUCAGAGACCAGCUGAAAUUCCAUAUGCACUGUCCACUCCCUCCCUGAAACCAACACCGUCUCAUUCUUGGGGUCAGCACACGUGAACCCCCUGGCCCAAGUAAUACCCUAUCCCUGACCAAGGGAUCACACCU